rnacentral:misc_RNA from 1 species
GUGAAUCAUCGAAUCUUUGAACGCAUAUUGCACUCUCUGGUAUUCCGGAGAGUAUGCCUGUUUGAGGGUAAUUAAAAAUAAUCUUUAACCAAUUUUUUUUUGGUCAAAGGAAAUGAGUUCUCCGCGUUUAUAGCGGUAGCUUGAAAUAAAUGGUCAAGUCGCAGUUUAGUCGAGACACGUAAUAAUCUUAGUAUGCGAAAGCUUCAUUAUGGGACUAUUAAGUUUUGGUGCAUACAAAUUUAGUUUUUAUG